UUAUAGGAAACAAUUUGUCAAUUUCAAUUGAAGUGCGUCUUUUGUUUUAAGAAAACUGAUUCAAUUCCGGACUUAUAUAAUAGAAACCUGAAGCUUAAAGGGUUCUUCAAAAAAAAUAAUUUAAGAGCACUAUUAAAUAAAAUAGAUAAUAUCUGCCAAUAACUAAGUGAGAAUACUAAGUGAAGAGGUCAAAGUAAAUCAACAAUCCCAAGUUAAGUAUAGAACUAAACUAAUCAAAAGAAUAUAAUCAAAUUAAUUGAAAAUUCGAAAUAGAGUAAAAUGUAAAUCACAAAGGCCACCAUAAGCGACCCAAGCUUUGCUUGUUCUUCUUAUAGAUAUCCAUCAUAGUCUAAGGCUCAAUAGUAAUGACUCCGUGCAGGUAUGGGUUGAGUCAUGCAAUAAGACUCAUACUGCUCCAAGUGCAUAUGUCAAACAAAAAAGAAAAGAUAAGAAUUAGAAAUAAAGAUAUUGGCAAUAAACUGAGAUAUAUAAAAGAACAGUAAACUUUGAAUCAAAUUCUAAACGUACAACAGGAUUAUUAGCUCAUAUAAAACAAAUAUUUCUUUUUUUUUUUUAAAAAAAAUUGAGUUACCAGCAACUUCUUUAUUCUCUUAAGUUUAGGCAUAUCUUCUUAAUCUAAAUAUUGAGUUAACAAAAAAAAACUUUCCUUUUUCAUUUGAAAUCUAAAGAUGAAACAGAUUAAUAUAGCUAACAUGAUUAUUAAAACUUAGAACAACAUGGUCCUACUUCCAUCUUAAGUCUUAAAAAUUGGAUAUUAAAGUCCUAGUAGUAUGCUUUUAAAAAAAAAAAGGAAUGACAAAGCAGAGCAGAAUUUUCUAAGAUAAAUAAUACCCUUUGUUAGUACAUGCUUUCUUAGCACAUGCUCUGCUAAUGGCACACUCGAUAGUAACAACAAGGAAAGGAAAAUAAUUUGAAAGGUUAUCUUAAGGCAGUGACUUCUAUACUUGUAGUAUCUAUAUAAAAGGUCUUAAAUCUUAUUAUUUUUUUUAGACACAAGCUCUAUGAAGCAAACCACUUUUAAAACUUAUUGCUAAACACGAAAACAUUUAAACUAAGCAUCCAAAUAGUUAAUUUCUAAUAAUAUAUUUUCUGUUGCAUUUACGCUAAAAAAAAUAAUAAAACUUGGGAUAUAUUUUGAGACAUGAAAAGAGAGAGUAGAUGUCGUAACUUUAAUGCGUAGAGUGAAGAGCGAAAUUUGGUACAUGCUAGACAAAAUGCAACAACGUAAUUUUGACAAGAGAAAAUUAUAACAUACUUAAAAUAAAAGGCAAUUUCAUCAACUACUAAUGUAUUAACUACCAUAAGCCUAUUCAUGCUUUAUUGGACUUUUAUUUUGAUUUAACUAGAUAUCUUUAACUCCAUGGCUUCUAAACGAGUUGGCUCAAAUUCAUAAUUUUAACAAGCGCCAACUAAAACUCAUUCAAAAGAACAUACAACCAUUUUAAAACUUCGAAGACAAAGCGAGAAGAAAAAUUUCAGUCACUGACCUUUUGUGGCGCAGGAACUGGGGCGUGUCAACUAAAUCUACUAUUUUCGACCUCGGAUUUGGCUACUUCAGAUAAUCAUCGAACUCCGACACAAACAAAAUAAAGGCCCUGUUAUGGCUGUAGGACAACAGAGACCAAGAGGUAGAGAGGAUUAAAGCUAAAUCUUUUAUAGAGUAAAGACGAAGAUAAACUAUGAGAAGUCAACCGAACGGUGUAGGAGAGGGCGUCCAACCUGCUGAAAAUAGCCAUAAAUUCUGGUAUUUAUAGGUGUAAAAUUAAGGUUCUUGGUUCCUUUGAGCGGGAACUUGAAAGUUCAAAUUUCAAAAGAAAUCAAAUGGAUCGUUUGAAUUUUAACGUUGAAAUUUUUUGUUUUGAUGGAUUCGAUCUUCGGGAUUCUUUAGUGAUAUGCUUCAGGUUACACCCGAAAAUGGUGGGAUAUGCUCCAGCACGCAGGGAUUUGAAAGUCAAGAAUUGGCCAAAAAAUGGAGGAAAAGUGAAGAUGGCAGAGAUUGAAAGUGACAUGGGAGAGGAAAAGGGAUGGAACUUAAUUAAAAAAAAUAAACAAUAAAAUAAAUAAGUGCUAACAAUUAUUUUGGAAUUCUUUUGAAGAUAGGAGAAGUUUGAU
rnacentral:lncRNA from 1 species